GCUCUCAGCUUUAGCAAGGAGGCCACCAUUUGCUAGAACCUAAGUGGCGAAUUCCCCGUCACCUCACCCAUGCUUAACCUGGCGUCCGAGGAAAAUCUAUUCAAGAGUGGUGCUAUCCCUAGUACCUGGAAGACUUUGAUAGUUCUGGAUA